GACAGAGGGUGCAAGCGUUAUCCGGAAUUAUUGGGCGUAAAGCGUCUGUAGGUGGCUUUUCAAGUCCGCCGUCAAAUCCCAGGGCUCAACCCUGGACAGGCGGUGGAAACUGGCAAGCUGGAGUACGGUAGGGGCAGAGGGAAUUUCCGGUGGAGCGGUGAAAUGCGUAGAGAUCGGAAAGAACACCAACGGCGAAAGCACUCUGCUGGGCCGACACUGACACUGAGAGACGAAAGCUAGGGGAGCGAAUGGG
rnacentral:rRNA from 1 species